rnacentral:rRNA from 1 species
AGCGAACGCUGGCGGCGUGCCUAACACAUGCAAGUCGAACGUGAAAGGGAGCAAUCCUGAGUAAAGUGGCGUACGGGUGAGUAAUGCGUAGGUAAUCUAACUUUUAGUUUGGAAUAACCUGCCGAAAGGCGGGCUAAUACUGGAUAGGUCGAAGGGGCUAUAGAGGUCACUUCGGGAAAGGGAGCUAGCAAUAGCCCUCGCUAAAAGAUGAGCUUACGUUCCAUUAGCUAGUUGGUGAGGUAACGGCCCACCAAGGCGAUGAUGGAUAGCUGGUCUGAGAGGAUAAUCAGCCACACUGGAACUGAAACACGGUCCAGACUCCUACGGGAGGCAGCAGUGGGGAAUCUUGCGCAAUGGACGAAAGUCUGACGCAGCCACGCCGCGUGAGUGAAGAAGGCCUUCGGGUUGUAAAGCUCUGUCGGAGGGGACGAAAAGCGUGAAGGUUAAUAGCCUUGACGUCUGACGGUACCCUUAAAGGAAGCACCGGCUAACUUCGUGCCAGCAGCCGCAGUAA